rnacentral:rRNA from 1 species
AACCUGGUUGAUCCUGCCAGUGGCGACCGCUUUUGGAGUUCGAUUAAGCCAUGCGGGUCGUGAGUCUUAGGGACUCGGCAUACUGCUCAGUAACACGUGGAUAACCUGCCCUAUCGUCUGGAAUAACCUCGGGAAACUGAGAACAAGGCCGGAUAGUUCACAAUGCCUGGAACGGUUUGUGAAUCAAGGUAGGAUGGGUCUGCGGCGUAUCAGGUUGUAGGGGGUGUAACGGACCCCCUAGCCAUCGACGCGUACGGGUGUUGGGAGACAUAGCCCGGAGAUGGAUUCUGAGACACGAAUCCAGACCCUACGGGGUGCAGCAGGCGCGAAAACUUCACACUGCAGGAAACUGUGAUGAGGGAACUCCAAGUGUGUGCGUUUUACGUACACUUUUCUGAACUCUUAAUCGGUUCAGGAAUAAGGGCUGGGAAAGACCGGUGCCAG